rnacentral:lncRNA from 1 species
AAAAUAAGAUUUUAGCAUGUUUGAUUGACCAUAAAAAAGUGACUUAUUGUAGAAUAAUUUAUGUUUGGUUGAAUACCUAUUUUUUUAAAAAAAUUAUAUAAAAUACCUUAAUAGAUAUAAGACUAUAUCUGUUUUGCUCUUAAACAUUAUAUAAAUAUAAAUAUUAUAUUAUAUUAAUAUAAAUAUAAAUAUAAUAUUAAUAUAUUAUAAUAUAAUAUUAAACUAUAAUAAUUUAUUAUAUUAAUAUAAU